CACGAAGGGUGCAAGCGUUACUCGGAAUUACUGGGCGUAAAGCGUGCGUAGGUGGUGAGUUAAGUCUGAUGUGAAAUCCCCGGGCUCAACCUGGGAAUGGCAUUGGAUACUGGCUCGCUGGAGUGCGGUAGAGGGUGGUGGAAUUCCCGGUGUAGCAGUGAAAUGCGUAGAUAUCGAGAGGAACACCUGCGGCGAAGGCGGGUUGCUGGGCCGACACUGACGCUGAUGCGCGAAAGCCAGGGGAGCGAACGGG
rnacentral:rRNA from 1 species